UACGUAGGGGGCGAGCGUUGUCCGGAUUUAUUGGGCGUAAAGAGCUCGUAGGCGGUUUGGCAAGUCGGGUGUGAAAACUCCGGGCUCAACUCGGAGACGCCACUCGAUACUGCUAUGACUCGAGUCCGGUAGGGGAGUGCGGAAUUCCUGGUGUAGCGGUGAAAUGCGCAGAUAUCAGGAGGAACACCGGUGGCGAAGGCGGCACCCUGGGCCGGUACUGACGCUGAGGAGCGAAAGCGUGGGGAGCGAACAGG
rnacentral:rRNA from 1 species